UGGGGAAUCUUGCGCAAUGGACGAAAGUCUGACGCAGCCACGCCGCGUGAGUGAAGAAGGCCUUAGGGUUGUAAAGCUCUGUCGCCCGGGACGAAAACUAUUUAGGUUAACAGCCUAAGUAACUGACGGUACCGGGAGAGGAAGCACCGGCUAACUCUGUGCCAGCAGCCGCGGUAAUACAGAGGGUGCAAGCGUUGCUCGGAAUUAUUGGGCGUAAAGGGUAGGUAGGUGGUCUCAUUUGUCUGGGGUGAAAGCCUUGAGCUUAACUCAAGAAGUGCCCCAGAAACGGUGAGACUAGAGUACUGGAGAGGGUCGUAGAAUUCCUGGUGUAGCGGUGAAAUGCGUAGAGAUCAGGAGGAAUACCAGAGGCGAAGGCGGCGACCUGGACAGUAACUGACACUCAACUACGAAAGCGUGGGGAGCAAACAGG
rnacentral:rRNA from 1 species